CUCAGAAGCAGCCACUCAUUCAAAGAGUGCGUAAUAGCUCACUGGUCGAGCGUCUUUGCGCGGAGAAUUUAACGGGGCUAAACCUGACACCGAAGCUUAGGCAAUCCAGCAAUGGAUUGGGUAGGGGAGCGUUGUAUACGCGGAGAAACAGUAGCGUAAGCGGCUGUGGAGUGUAUAGAAGUGAGAAUGCCGGAAUGAGUAGCGCGAAUGCAGUGAGAAUCUGCAUGGCCGAAAGCCUCAGGUUUUUGGAGGAAGGUUCGUCCGCUCCAAGUUAGUCGGGAGCUAAGGUGAGGCCGGAAGGCGUAGCCGAUGCACAGACGGUAGAGAUUCCGUCACCACCGAAAGAGUUAAGCACAGGGACACAUUUGAAGUCUCAGAGCCGGGUGUUGGUUCCGGUAGAGAUCGAGGGAAGUUAGUACCGAAGUCUGGGAUGGAAGAUGGCGAGAAAAGCUGUGUGUAUUUCUGAGGUGCCCGUACCGCAAACCGACACAGGUAGGUAGGAAGAAGAUUCUAAGGCCAACGGGAGAAGGGUUGUUAAGGAACUCGGCAAAUUGACCCCGUAACUUCGGGAGAAGGGGUGCUCCAGAGAUGGAGCCGCAGAGAAUCGGCCCAAGCAACUGUUUACCAAAAACACAGGUUUGUGCUAAAUCGAAAGAUGACGUAUACGAGCUGACGCCUGCCCGGUGCUGGAAGGUUAAGAGGAGAUGUGCAAGCAUUGAAUCGAAGCCCCAGUGAACGGCGGCCGUAACUAUAACGGUCCUAAGGUAGCGAAAUUCCUUGUCAGGUAAGUUCUGACCCGCAUGAAAGGCGUAAUGAUUUGGGCACUGUCUCAACAGCCCGCCCGGCGAAAUUGUAGUACCGGUGAAGAUGCCGGUUACCCGCGACAAGACGGAAAGACCCCAUGGAGCUUUACUGUAGCCUAAUAUUGGGUUUCGAUGUUGCAUGCACAGGAUAGAUGGGACACUGGGAAACAAUCGCUUUGGCGGUUGCGGAGUGGCCGUUGGGAUACCAUCCUUGCGAUAUUGGAAUUCUAACCUGCGGCUCUGAAUCGAGUCGGGGGACAUUGUUAGGUGGGCAGUUUGACUGGGGCGGUCGCCUCCUAAAAAGUAACGGAGGCGUUCAAAGGUUCGCUCAGCUUGAACGGAAAUCAAGCAAAAGAGUGCAAACGCAGAAGCGAGCCUAACUGCGAGACUGACGGGUCGAGCAGUAACGAAAGUUGGAGUUAGUGAUCCGGUGGUAUGUGAGUGGAAAUGCCAUCGCUCAACGGAUAAAAGUUACCCUGGGGAUAACAGGCUGAUCUCCCCCAAGAGUCCACAUCGACGGGGAGGUUUGGCACCUCGAUGUCGGCUCAUCGCAUCCUGGGGCUGUAUUCGGUCCCAAGGGUUUGGCUGUUCGCCAAUUAAAGCGGUACGCGAGCUGGGUUCAGAACGUCGUGAGACAGUUCGGUCCCUAUCUGUCGUGGGCGCAGGAUAUUUGAUGGGAGCUGUCCCUAGUACGAGAGGACCGGGACGGACGUACCUCUGGCGCACCAGUUGUUCCGCCAGGAGCAUAGCUGGGCAACUACGUACGGAUCGGAUAAACGCUGAAAGCAUCUAAGCGUGAAGCCGACCCAAAGAUAAGAUAUCCCACUGAUUUGAUCAGGUAAGACCCCUUGA
rnacentral:rRNA from 1 species